CUCAACUUCGCCUGGCAACACGAAUGUCGCUGAUCAGUGAGCUUCUGCAGUCCGUCUAUUGUCUGCAGUGGAGGAGGCUUUACAGGGUUAAACCUAGAAUAUUUCUUUAACUUACAUAAAUACACCAACACUCCUCUAAAGUGAUUUAUUGCCUGUGACGAGGAGGAGGGUGGGGCCGGGCCGUGAGUGCGCACGGCUGGUCCCCAAUCGGGCUAAUCAACCGAGGAGAGGGAUAAGGCCUAGCUGGAUGCGGCAGUUGGGGAGAGAGAGAGCCACACGCAGCUGCCAUGUGUGCAUUAAACAUUAUUUUGAUGGUUCGUCCGGUUCCCGCCUCCUCCUUGCCCAUUUUAAACCCUGUUACAUUGGUGCCGAAGCCCGGGAAGGAGGAGGGAUGCGCUGUCGUGGAGUCCUAACCACUGCCGUCCGCCCAAAGGAGCAGCCACGGCCAUCCGCCGGGGAACGGAGGAGUCGCUGCUGGCCAUCUGGAGCGAUAGAGCCGCUGCCAGGGGUGGAGGGGCUCGCUACCGGCCGCCAGAACGCAGAGGGGCAUUCCAUCCACCAGGGGUCGGAGGACUCUCUCUGGUCCGCCUGGGUAGGAGCGGCUGUCGUCCGCCAGAGAGUGGAGGAGUGGUCGAAGACCAGGUGACGGCGUGUCUGGGAAAUGGCAAGCAAUUUUUUUUCUCUCUCUUCUCUCUCUCUCUCACUGUCUCUCCGCCUCACUCUUUCCCUCUCCCCUUUUCCCUCCCCUUGUCUCCCUCCCAGGUCUAGAAAGGCGGGGAAAGCCGGGUUCCCCGGCCUGAGGCAAAGAUGGGAGGAGUGUGAUGAGGAGGGCAGGGCCGGCCCCCAAUUGGGCUAAUCAGCUGAGGAGAGGGAUAAGGCUGAGCCAGAUGCAACAGUUAGGGAGAGAGAGAGCCACAAGCAG